rnacentral:rRNA from 1 species
GACGAACGCUGGCGGCGUGCCUAAUACAUGCAAGUAGAACGCUGAAGAGAGGAGCUUACUCUUCUUGGAUGAGUUGCGAACGGGUGAGUAACGCGUAGGUAACCUGCCUUGUAGCGGGGGAUAACUAUUGGAAACGAUAGCUAAUACCGCAUAACAAUGGAUGACACAUGUCAUUUAUUUGAAAGGGGCAAUUGCUCCACUACAAGAUGGACCUGCGUUGUAUUAGCUAGUAGGCGAGGUAAUGGCUCACCUAGGCGACGAUACAUAGCCGACCUGAGAGGGUGAUCGGCCACGCUGGGACUGAGACACGGCCCAGACUCCUACGGGAGGCAGCAGUAGGGAAUCUUCGGCAAUGGGGGCAACCCUGACCGAGCAACGCCGCGUGAGUGAAGAAGGUUUUCGGAUCGUAAAGCUCUGUUGUAAGUCAAGAACGGGUGUGAGAGUGGAAAGUUCACACUGUGACGGUAGCUUACCAGAAAGGGACGGCUAACUACGUG